rnacentral:rRNA from 1 species
GGGUUGUGAGGUUAAGCGACUAAGCGUACACGGUGGAUGCCCUGGCAGUCAGAGGCGAUGAAGGACGUGCUAAUCUGCGAUAAGCGCCGGUAAGGUGAUAUGAACCGUUAUAACCGGCGAUUUCCGAAUGGGGAAACCCAGUGUGAUUCGUCACACUAUCAUUAACUGAAUCCAUAGGUUAAUGAGGCGAACCGGGGGAACUGAAACAUCUAAGUACCCCGAGGAAAAGAAAUCAACCGAGAUUCCCCCAGUAGCGGCGAGCGAACGGGGAGGAGCCCAGAGCCUGAAUCAGCAUGUGUGUUAGUGGAAGCGUCUGGAAAGGCGCGCGAUACAGGGUGACAGCCCCGUACACAAAAGCGCAUGUGCUGUGAGCUCGAUGAGUAGGGCGGGACACGUGGUAUCCUGUCUGAAUAUGGGGGGACCAUCCUCCAAGGCUAAAUACUCCUGACUGACCGAUAGUGAACCAGUACCGUGAGGGAAAGGCGAAAAGAACCCCGGCGAGGGGAGUGAAAAAGAACCUGAAACCGUGUACGUACAAGCAGUGGGAGCACAGGUUUACCUGUGUGACUGCGUACCUUUUGUAUAAUGGGUCAGCGACUUAUAUUCUGUAGCAAGGUUAACCGUAUAGGGGAGCCGGAGGGAAACCGAGUCUUAAUUGGGCGUUAAGUUGCAGGGUAUAGACCCGAAACCCGGUGAUCUAGCCAUGGGCAGGUUGAAGGUUGGGUAACACUAACUGGAGGACCGAACCGACUAAUGUUGAAAAAUUAGCGGAUGACCUGUGGCUGGGGGUGAAAGGCCAAUCAAACCGGGAGAUAGCUGGUUCUCCCCGAAAGCUAUUUAGGUAGCGCCUCGUGAAUUCAUCUCCGGGGGUAGAGCACUGUUUCGGCUAGGGGGCCAUCCCGGCUUACCAACCCGAUGCAAACUGCGAAUACCGGAGAAUGUUAUCACGGGAGACACACGGCGGGUGCUAACGUCCGUCGUGAAGAGGGAAACAACCCAGACCGCCAGCUAAGGUCCCAAAGUCAUGGUUAAGUGGGAAACGAUGUGGGAAGGCCCAGACAGCCAGGAUGUUGGCUUAGAAGCAGCCAUCAUUUAAAGAAAGCGUAAUAGCUCACUGGUCGAGUCGGCCUGCGCGGAAGAUGUAACGGGGCUAAACCAUGCACCGAAGCUGCGGCAGCGAACGUAUCACCCAAGACAACUUUACGGAGUUGACGAUUGACGGAGCGAAGCGACGUCAAAGCGUUCAUUAAAGUCGAGUUGGCUUAGGGAUACGUUCGUUGGGUAGGGGAGCGUUCUGUAAGCCUGUGAAGGUGUGUCGUGAGGCAUGCUGGAGGUAUCAGAAGUGCGAAUGCUGACAUAAGUAACGAUAAAGCGGGUGAAAAGCCCGCUCGCCGGAAGACCAAGGGUUCCUGUCCAACGUUAAUCGGGGCAGGGUGAGUCGACCCCUAAGGCGAGGCCGAAAGGCGUAGUCGAUGGGAAACGGGUUAAUAUUCCCGUACUUGGUGUUACUGCGAAGGGGGGACGGAGAAGGCUAUGUUGGCCGGGCGACGGUUGUCCCGGUUUAAGCGUGUAGGUGUGUGUUCCAGGUAAAUCCGGUUCACUUUAACACUGAGGCGUGACGACGAGGCACUACGGUGCUGAAGCAACAAAUGCCCUGCUUCCAGGAAAAGCCUCUAAGCAUCAGGUAACACGAAAUCGUACCCCAAACCGACACAGGUGGUCAGGUAGAGAAUACCAAGGCGCUUGAGAGAACUCGGGUGAAGGAACUAGGCAAAAUGGUGCCGUAACUUCGGGAGAAGGCACGCUGACACGUAGGUGAAGUGAUUUACUCAUGGAGCUGAAGUCAGUCGAAGAUACCAGCUGGCUGCAACUGUUUAUUAAAAACACAGCACUGUGCAAACACGAAAGUGGACGUAUACGGUGUGACGCCUGCCCGGUGCCGGAAGGUUAAUUGAUGGGGUCAGCGCAAGCGAAGC